rnacentral:rRNA from 1 species
UUGCUGUUCGAACUGUAGGGCUUGAGUACGCACGAGGUAAGCGGAAUUUGUGGUGUAGCGGUGAAAUGCGCAGAUAUCAAGAGGAACACCGAUGGCGAAGGCAGGUCUCUGGGCAUUAACUGACGCUGAGGAGCGAAAGCAUGGGGAGCGAACAGGAUUAGAUACCCUGGUAGUCCAUGCCGUAAACGUUGGGCACUAGGUGUGGGGGACAUUCCACGUUUUCCGCGCCGUAGCUAACGCAUUAAGUGCCCCGCCUGGGGAGUACGGCCGCAAGGCUAAAACUCAAAGGAAUUGACGGGGGCCCGCACAAGCGGCGGAGCAUGCGGAUUAAUUCGAUGCAACGCGAAGAACCUUACCAAGGCUUGACAUGGACCGGACCGGGCUGGAAACAGUCCUUCCCCUUUGGGGCCGGUUCACAGGUGGUGCAUGGUUGUCGUCAGCUCGUGUCGUGAGAUGUUGGGUUAAGUCCCGCAACGAGCGCAACCCUCGUUCCAUGUUGCCAGCGCGUAAUGGCGGGGACUCAUGGGAGACUGCCUACGCAAGUAGGAGGAAGGUGAGGACGACGUCAAGUCAUCAUGGCCCUUACGUCCAGGGCUACACACGUG